GUAAAGGCCUACCAAGGCGAAGACGGGUAGGGGGUGUGAGAGCACGGCCCCCCACAAUGGGACUGAAACACGGCCCAUACUCCUACGGGAGGCAGCAGCAGGGAAUAUUGCACAAUAGGCGAAAGCCUGAUGCAGCGACGCCGCGUGAGUGAAGAAGGCCUUCGGGUCGUAAAGCUCUUUUGUAGGGGAAGAGGAAGGACGGUACCCUAAGAAGAAGCGUCGGCUAACUACGUGCCAGCAGCCGCGGUAAGACGUAGGACGCGAGCGUUAUCCGGAAUUACUGGGCGUAAAGGGCCAGCAGGCGGCUUGGUAAGUUGUGCGUGAAAGCCUCGUGCUCAACGCGAGGAAGCCGGACAAUACUGUCAAGCUAGAGGGCAUCAGAGGGGAGUGGAAUUCCCGGAGUAGCGGUAAAAUGCGCAGAUAUCGGGAGGAACACCGAUGGCGAAGGCAGCUCCCUGGGAUGCACCUGACGCUAAGAGGCGAAAGCUAGGGGAGCGAACAGGAUUAGAGACCCUGGUAGUCCUAGCUGUAAACGCUGGGUGCUAGGUGUGGGACGUAGAAGUUCCGUGCCGGAGCAAACGCGAUAAGCACCCCGCCUGGGAAUUACGGUCGCAAGGCUAAAACUCAAACGAAUUGACGGGGCCCCGCACAAGCAGCGGAGCGUGUGGUUCAAUUCGAUGCUACACGAAGAACCUUACCUGGGUUUGACAUGUACGUGGUACGAAGGCGAAAGCCUAAGGACCCUUCGGGGAGCGUACACAGGUGCUGCAUGGCUGUCGUCAGCUCGUGCCGUGAGGUGUCGGGUUAAGUCCCGUAACGAGCGCAACCCUUGCCCUUAGUUACAAGUGUCUAAGGGGACUGCCGGCGGGAAGCCGGAGGCCGCUGGGGAUGACGUCAAGUCAGCAUGGCCCUUAUGUCCAGGGCUACACACACGCUACAA
rnacentral:rRNA from 1 species